rnacentral:rRNA from 1 species
CCUACGUGUGGCAGCAGUGGGGAAUAUUGGGCAAUGGGCGCAAGCCUGACCCAGCAACGCCGCGUGAAGGAAGAAGGCUUUCGGGUUGUAAACUUCUUUUGUCAGGGACGAAGCAAGUGACGGUCCCUGACUAAUAAGCCACGGCUAACUACGUGCCAGCAGCCGCGGUAAUACGUAGGUGGCAAGCGUUAUCCGGAUUUACUGGUUGUAAAGGGCGUGUAGGCGGGACUGCAAGUCAGAUGUGAAAACCACGGGCUCAACCUGUGGCCUGCAUUUGAAACUGUAGUUCUUGAGUACGGGAGAGGCAGACGGAAUUCCUAGUGUAGCGGUGAAAUGCGUAGAUAUUAGGAGGAACACCAGUGGCGAAGGCGGUCUGCUGGACAGCAACUGACGCUGAGGCGCGAAAGCGUGGGGAGCAAACAGGAUUAGAUACCCGAGUAGUC